GGGGGGAUGGCGCAGUGGUUAUGCGCUUCCCUGACAGGCUUCCUGGACUUCACCACAAAGUGCGCAGUUCGAAUCUUGCUUCCCCCG